rnacentral:rRNA from 1 species
AUUGAACGCUGGCGGCAGGCCUAACACAUGCAAGUCGAGCGGAGCGGCGGACGGGUGCGUAAUGCCUAGGAAUCUGCCUGGUAGUGGGGGAUAACGUUAGGAAACGGACGCUAAUACCGCAUACUCUCAGAUGAGCCUAGGUGGGAUUAGCUAGUUGGUGGGGUAAAGGCCUACCAAGGCGACGAUCCGUAACUGGUCUGAGAGGAUGAUCAGCCACACUGGAACUGAGACACGGUCCAGACUCCUACGGGAGGCAGCAGUGGGGAAUAUUGGACAAUGGGCGAAAGCCUGAUCCAGCCAUGCCGCGUGUGUGAAGAAGGCCUUCGGAUUGUAAAGCACUUUAAGUUGGGAGGCGUUACCAACAGAAGAAGCACCGGCUAACUCCGUGCCAGCAGCCGCGGUAAUUC